GAUGAACGCUGACAGAAUGCUUAACACAUGCAAGUCAACUUGAACUUCGGUUUGGGUGGCGGACGGGUGAGUAACGCGUAAAGAACUUGCCUCACAGAUAGGGACAACAUUUGGAAACGAAUGCUAAUACCUGAUAUUAUGAUUAUAUGGCAUCGUAUAAUUAUGAAAGCUAUAUGCGCUGUGAGAGAGCUUUGCGUCCCAUUAGCUAGUUGGAGAGGUAACGGCUCACCAAGGCGAUGAUGGGUAGCCGGCCUGAGAGGGUGAUCGGCCACAAGGGGACUGAGACACGGCCCUUACUCCUACGGGAGGCAGCAGUAGGGAAUAUUGGACAAUGGACCAAGAGUCUGAUCCAGCAAUUCUGUGUGCACGAUGAAGUUUUUCGGAAUGUAAAGUGCUUUCAGUUGGGAAGAAAAAAAUGACGGUACCAACAGAAGAAGUGACGGCUAAAUACGUG
rnacentral:rRNA from 1 species